GAAACUUAGUUACGGCGAGUGAAGCGGUAAAAGCUCAAAUUUGAAAUCUGGUACUUUCAGUGCCCGAGUUGUAAUUUGUAGAAUUUGUCUUUGAUUAGGUCCUUGUCUAUGUUCCUUGGAACAGGACGUCAUAGAGGGUGAGAAUCCCGUUUGGCGAGGAUACCUUUUCUCUGUAAGACUUUUUCGAAGAGUCGAGUUGUUUGGGAAUGCAGCUCAAAGUGGGUGGUAAAUUCCAUCUAAAGCUAAAUAUUGGCGAGAGACCGAUAGCGAACAAGUACAGUGAUGGAAAGAUGAAAAGAACUUUGAAAAGAGAGUGAAAAAGUACGUGAAAUUGUUGAAAGGGAAGGGCAUUUGAUCAGACAUGGUGUUUUUUGCAUGCACUCGCCUCUCGUGGGCUUGGGCCUCUCAAAAAUUUCACUGGGCCAACAUCAAUUCUGGCAGCAGGAUAAAUCAUUAAGAAUGUAGCUACUUCGGUAGUGUUAUAGCUUUUUGGAAUACUGUUAGCCGGGAUUGAGGACUGCGCUUCGGCAAGGAUGUUGGCAUAAUGGUUAAAUGCCGCCCGUCUUGACC
rnacentral:rRNA from 1 species